CUGCUGCCUCCCGUAGGAGUUUGGGCCGUGUCUCAGUCCCAAUGUGGCCGUUCACCCUCUCAGGCCGGCUACUGAUCGUUGCCUUGGUAGGCCAUUACCCCACCAACUAGCUAAUCAGACGCGGAACCAUCGUAUACCACCAGAGUUUUUCACACCGCUUCAUGCGAACGCUGUGCGCUUAUGCGGUAUUAGCACCUAUUUCCUAAGUGUUAUCCCCCAGUAUACGGCAGGUUUUCCACGCGUUACUCACCCGUCCGCCA
rnacentral:rRNA from 1 species